UGACCUCAAAUCAGGUAGGAUUACCCGCUGAACUUAAGCAUAUCAAUAAGCGGAGGAAAAGAAACUAACAAGGAUUCCCCUAGUAACUGCGAGUGAAGAGGGAAAAGCUCAAA
rnacentral:rRNA from 1 species